rnacentral:rRNA from 1 species
UACGUAGGGUGCGAGCGUUGUCCGGAAUUAUUGGGCGUAAAGGGCUCGUAGGCGGUUUGUCGCGUCGGGAGUGAAAACACUGGGCUUAACUCAGUGCUUGCUUCCGAUACGGGCAGACUAGAGGUAUGCAGGGGAGAACGGAAUUCCUGGUGUAGCGGUGAAAUGCGCAGAUAUCAGGAGGAACACCGGUGGCGAAGGCGGUUCUCUGGGCAUUACCUGACGCUGAGGAGCGAAAGUGUGGGGAGCGAAUAGG